rnacentral:rRNA from 1 species
AUUGAACGCUGGCAGAAUGCUCUACACAUGCAAGUCGAGCGGCGGCGCGGGGGCAACCCUGGCGGCGAGCGGCGAACGGGUGAGUAACAUAUCGGAACGUACCCUGUCGUGGGGGAUAACACAGCGAAAGCUGUGCUAAUACCGCAUACGACCUGAGGGUGAAAGCGGGGGAUCGCAAGACCUCGCGCGAUAGGAGCGGCCGAUAUCGGAUUAGCUUGUUGGUGAGGUAAAGGCUCACCAAGGCGACGAUCCGUAGCUGGUCUGAGAGGACGACCAGCCACACUGGAACUGAGACACGGUCCAGACUCCUACGGGAGGCAGCAGUGGGGAAUUUUGGACAAUGGGGGCAACCCUGAUCCAGCCAUUCCGCGUGAGUGAAGAAGGCCUUCGGGUUGUAAAGCUCUUUCGGCAGGAACGAAACGGCAGGCUCUAACAUAGUCUGUCAAUGACGGUACCUGAAGAAGAAGCACCGGCUAACUACGUGCCAGCCGCCGCCGUAA